UGUCUUCUAAAUAAAGACUAGUAUGAACGGCUAAAUGAGGACAAAACUGUCUCUUAUGACUAAUCAGUGAAACUGAUCUACCAGUACAAAAGCUGGUAUUACUACAUAAGACGAGAAGACCCUGUGGAGCUUAAAACAAACCACUACCCCAUAAGACCCCUAGUGUACUGUUUUAAGUUGGGGCGACUUCGGAACAAAACAAAACUUCCGAGCAUAGAUCCACCAGAUCAAACCAAGGCCUACAAGCCAAAAUAAAAACUGACCCGGCCCAAGCCGAUCAACGAACCAAGUUACCCCAGGGAUAACAGCGCUAUCUUCUUCAAGAGUCCAUAUCGACAAGAAGGUUUACGACCUCGAUGUUGGAUCAGGACACCCAAGUGGUGCAGCCGCUACUAAAGGUUCGUUUGUUCAACGAUUAACAGU
rnacentral:rRNA from 1 species